rnacentral:lncRNA from 1 species
UAUUCCACUGUCUGUGCCCUGGGGGAGAAAAGGGGUCUGCCGAGGCCUGGGGGAGCCUGCUUGGAGUUGGAUGGUGAAGGAGACUGGCCUUUACCGCAUCGAUGUGGUUUUCCUGGGACCAUUCUCCUGAGGAGUGGGGGCGGGACCCUGCUUAGAGAAGGGGAUGGUGGGUGAGCCUCCUGCUCUGUAAUCUGACAUCCUUUUCCCCACCUCUUCCAGCGAAGGCCCCGGGGAGCCGCCUCUUCAUCCACUCACAGGUCACUCCCUUCUUAGCUGGAACCUGGACCCUGGCUCAACUUGAA